rnacentral:rRNA from 1 species
AUGGAGCCAGGGAUGUCCUCCUCGUCGGGCUCUGGCUCACUCUCCUCCGGCUCGCCGGCGCUCCGCCACAUCAAGCCGGAGCCGGAGGAGGAGACGCCGCUUCGGUGCCGCACCCGCAGCGGUGCCAUCGUCAUCAACAAGGGCGGCCGCCCCUCCCCACACCCCUCCCCGCGCUCCCUCCGUCUGGUUCGGCCGAAGCCCGAGCCGGGGCUGCUCCCCGUGAAGCCAGAGCACACGGACAUGUUGGCCCCCGAUGACGAGGCCGCCCUCAAGUGGGCGAGGGAGGACUACGUCCGUGAGCAGGUGCUCCGCCAGCGUCGGGCAUACGCGGAGCUCCAGGCCCGGCACCGCGGACGCGAGGAGGAUGGCGUCAUCGUCCUCGACAGCGACGAGGAGGGCGAGGCCGGGCUGUCCAACCCCCCACCGCGCGUCGGCGACCCUGGCCAGGGGUGCAGUAGGGACGGCGGCGGCUCCGGCAAGGCGCGCGACAACGACGACGACGGCGGCGACGACUACACCCGUUUCUACAGGCUCCUCGGCAUGUAG